CUGAGCUGUGAGAUAUAAGGCAGACACUGCAGGAAACUCCUCACUUCACUCUCUUCAUGUGAGCAGCCUGUCAGCUCCACGUGUUUCUUCUCUGGUUGGAGUUUCAGCACUUCCAGGAGGAUGGAGGUCUUUCUCUUUGAGAGGUUUAUGGACCAGACUGCAGGAGCUGACUGGAAAACUGACUGUAAUGAUGGAAGGACACUCAAGCCUGUUUUCGAUGUAUAAUAGUACAGGUCCAUGAGGAAAUCACACCACGUCUCUUUUAAAGGGAAUCUUUUAUAUCUGCAUACUGAUGAUAACAGCUCCAGUAUCUUCUCUCCUGUCUGCUGUUCUCUCUCUGCUGCUGCACAGAACAGAUUCCCAAAGAACCUGGUUUCUUCUGAAGGCUCGGUCAACUGAGGUAUGACACUGAAAUCGUGAGCAAGAAAAUGGGACAUAGUUUUUAACUAAUGAGCAAUGCAAUAAACAACUGAAUAACAAAAAACGAACAGGCUGGACAAUGAGCUAUCAGAACUUUGUCUUAUCUGUUAUAAUUUAACUCCAAACAGUCAUGCGAACGGAUUCCUUCUUUGUCACAACAGCUUUUUCUUUAUCAUGUAGAGAAACACUUGAAUGUGGGCUUUAUGGAUAAUUGGGAAACUUUCUGGAGGAGACCCGGUCUUGUUAGCAGAGACGGCAUCGAUCCCACUUUGGAUGGAGCUGCUCUUAUUUCCAGAAAUCUGACCAAAUUUAUUAAACCCCCCAAAAUGUGAGUAUCCUGUCUGGGUCAGUACAGGUGUUUUGCCUCUGAGCCCCUGUCUCCACCUUGGGCCGGAGUCACCGUACACUGGCGUGUCUCCUCACCUGCGGCCAAUUGAGAGGUCAGCAUUUAUACACCACCACUCACUUACUACUCUCCAAGAGUUCUGCUAACUGCAGUCAGUGUUGGUUCUUGUAGUUAUCGUUAAAGGAUAAUCUUGCCAAUAAUCUUCACUGUGUGUUUUUCUUUAUAGCUGUUACGGCUGAGCCCUAAGCUUGAGUUCCUAUGGUCUGAUGAGUGUCAAGACGCCUUUGAAACUGCAAAAACCCUCUUAUGCCACACUCCCGUCUUGGGAUUGAGAAUGCCUUUUUAUAUUUAUGCAAAUCCAAGUGUGCUAGCACUCGUGGAUGGUUACUGGGAGACCUGUGCCAGCCCUCUUUUAUGCAGAUUGAAGUGUGCCAGUCCACGCAGACGAUUGGCUGCCUGGGGAUCCCAUGACACUCCAAGAGGAAAUGACUGGCUGAUUGUGU
ensembl:lncRNA